rnacentral:rRNA from 1 species
CAGGCUUGACAUCUCUGGAAUCUCUUGGAGACGAGAGAGUGCCCCUUUACGGGGGACCCGGAUGAC